rnacentral:rRNA from 1 species
UACAGAGGGUCCAAGCGUUGUCCGGAAUCACUGGGUGUAAAGGGUGCGUAGGCGGGCCGGUAAGUCAGAGGUGAAAGCCCGGGGCUCAACCCCGGAACUGCCUUUGAUACUGCCGGUCUUGAGUCCUGGAGAGGCUGCCGGAAUUCGUGGUGUAGCGGUGAAAUGCGUAGAUAUCACGAGGAACACCGGAUGCGUAGGCGGGCAGCUGGACAGGUACUGACGCUGAGGCACGAAAGCGUGGGGAGCGAACAGG